CAGCCGCCGCGGGAAAACGGAGGGUGCGAGCGUUAAUCGGAAUUACUGGGCGUAAAGAGUGCGUAGGUGGUUAAUUAAGUUAUCUGUGAAAUUCCUGGGCUUAACCUGGGCAGGUCAGAUAAUACUGGUUAACUCGAGUAUGGGAGAGGGUAGUGGAAUUUCCGGUGUAGCGGUGAAAUGCGUAGAGAUCGGAAGGAACACCAGUGGCGAAGGCGGCUACCUGGCCUAAUACUGACACUGAGGCACGAAAGCGUGGGGAGCAAACAGGAUUAGAUACCCCAGUAGUCCCUGUCUCUUAUAC
rnacentral:rRNA from 1 species